AGAGUUCGAUCAUGGCUCAGAUUGAACGCUGGCGGCAGGCCUAACACAUGCAAGUCGAACGGUAACAGGAAGCAGCUUGCUGCUUCGCUGACGAGUGGCGGACGGGUGAGUAAUGUCUGGGAAGCUGCCUGAUGGAGGGGGAUAACUACUGGAAACGGUAGCUAAUACCGCAUAAUGUCGCAAGACCAAAGAGGGGGACCUUCGGGCCUCUUGCCAUCGGAUGUGCCCAGAUGGGAUUAGCUUGUUGGUGGGGUAACGGCUCACCAAGGCGACGAUCCCUAGCUGGUCUGAGAGGAUGACCAGCCACACUGGAACUGAGACACGGUCCAGACUCCUACGGGAGGCAGCAGUGGGGAAUAUUGCACAAUGGGCGCAAGCCUGAUGCAGCCAUGCCGCGUGUAUGAAGAAGGCCUUCGGGUUGUAAAGUACUUUCAGCGGGGAGGAAGGGAGUAAAGUUAAUACCUUUGCUCAUUGACGUUACCCGCAGAAGAAGCACCGGCUAACUCCGUGCCAGCAGCCGCGGUAAUACGGAGGGUGCAAGCGUUAAUCGGAAUUACUGGGCGUAAAGCGCACGCAGGCGGUUUGUUAAGUCAGAUGUGAAAUCCCCGGGCUCAACCUGGGAACUGCAUCUGAUACUGGCAAGCUUGAGUCUCGUAGAGGGGGGUAGAAUUCCAGGUGUAGCGGUGAAAUGCGUAGAGAUCUGGAGGAAUACCGGUGGCGAAGGCGGCCCCCUGGACGAAGACUGACGCUCAGGUGCGAAAGCGUGGGGAGCAAACAGGAUUAGAUACCCUGGUAGUCCACGCCGUAAACGAUGUCGACUUGGAGGUUGUGCCCUUGAGGCGUGGCUUCCGGAGCUAACGCGUUAAGUCGACCGCCUGGGGAGUACGGCCGCAAGGUUAAAACUCAAAUGAAUUGACGGGGGCCCGCACAAGCGGUGGAGCAUGUGGUUUAAUUCGAUGCAACGCGAAGAACCUUACCUGGUCUUGACAUCCACGGAAGUUUUCAGAGAUGAGAAUGUGCCUUCGGGAACCGUGAGACAGGUGCUGCAUGGCUGUCGUCAGCUCGUGUUGUGAAAUGUUGGGUUAAGUCCCGCAACGAGCGCAACCCUUAUCCUUUGUUGCCAGCGGUCCGGCCGGGAACUCAAAGGAGACUGCCAGUGAUAAACUGGAGGAAGGUGGGGAUGACGUCAAGUCAUCAUGGCCCUUACGACCAGGGCUACACACGUGCUACAAUGGCGCAUACAAAGAGAAGCGACCUCGCGAGAGCAAGCGGACCUCAUAAAGUGCGUCGUAGUCCGGAUUGGAGUCUGCAACUCGACUCCAUGAAGUCGGAAUCGCUAGUAAUCGUGGAUCAGAAUGCCACGGUGAAUACGUUCCCGGGCCUUGUACACACCGCCCGUCACACCAUGGGAGUGGGUUGCAAAAGAAGUAGGUAGCUUAACCUUCGGGAGGGCGCUUACCACUUUGUGAUUCAUGACUGGGGUGAAGUCGGAACAAGGUA
rnacentral:rRNA from 1 species